rnacentral:rRNA from 1 species
GACGAACGCUGGCGGCGUGCUUAACACAUGCCAGUCGAACGGAAAGGCCCUGCUUUUGUGGGGUGCUCGAGUGGCGAACGGGUGAGUAACACGUGAGUAACCUGCCCUUGACUUUGGGAUAACUUCAGGAAACUGGGGCUAAUACCGGAUAGGAGCUCCUGCUGCAUGGUGGGGGUUGGAAAGUUUCGGCGGUUGGGGAUGGACUCGCGGCUUAUCAGCUUGUUGGUGGGGUAGUGGCUUACCAAGGCUUUGACGGGUAGCCGGCCUGAGAGGGUGACCGGCCACAUUGGGACUGAGAUACGGCCCAGACUCCUACGGGAGGCAGCAGUGGGGAAUAUUGCACAAUGGGCGGAAGCCUGAUGCAGCAACGCCGCGUGCGGGAUGACGGCCUUCGGGUUGUAAACCGCUUUCGCCUGUGACGAGGCGUGAGUGACGGUAAUGGGUAAAGAAGCACCGGCUAACUACGUG